GUGAACGAGCGACGCCGCGUGCGGGAUGAAGGCCUUCGGGUUGUAAACCCCUGUCGGGGGGGAGCAAGGCCGCGCGAAGAGCGUGGCCCGAGCGAUCCCCGGAGGAAGCACGGGCUAAGUUCGUGCCAGCAGCCGCGGUAAGACGAACCGUGCGAACGUUAUUCGGAAUCACUGGGCUUAAAGCGCGUGUAGGCGGGACGGUACGUCCGUGCCUGAAAUCCCCCGGCUUAACCGGGGAACCGGGCGGGAUACGGCCGUCCUGGAGGGACAUAGGGGGACCUGGAACUUCCGGUGGAGCGGUGAAAUGCGUUGAGAUCGGAAGGAACGCCCGUGGCGAAAGCGAGGUCCUGGAUGUUUUCUGACGCUGAGACGCGAAAGCCAGGGGAGCGAACGGGAUUAGAUACCCCGGUAGUCCUGGCCGUAAACGAU
rnacentral:rRNA from 1 species